GUGAGAGUUCGAGCAACCGACAAAAAUCAUGAUUUAAAGCAUGUACUUAGUUUUACCCAGACGGGAACGGGAAAAGGCCGACUCUUUUUCAUUUUUAUUCCCCGAAUCGCAUCAUUCCCCGGGAAACCGUGGGCAAGGUUUUCCCUCCAUUUUUUUUUUCUCCGGCCUCUUGUCGUCGUUCUCCUUUCCCUCUGUCUCCUCCUUUGUUCUGCUCUUUGACCGACAUUCUUCCUCGAUGGGGGAUGUAAGAAUCGAUGAUCUACCGCGACGUCUUUCCAGUGAGGACGCCAGAAUUCUUCUCGAGUCAACUGAUGUUUUCAUCUUCGACUGUGACGGUGUUAUUUGGAAAGGCGACAUGCUUAUAGAAGGAGUUGCACAAACCAUGGAGAUGCUUAGAUCAAUGGGGAAGAAGCUGGUUUUUGUGACAAACAACUCCAGAAAAUCAAGGCGACAAUAUGCAAAAAAGUUCGAGAGGGUUGGUUUGACAGUGAAUGAGGAGGAGAUUUUCUCUUCAUCCUUUGCAGCAUCUGUUUUCUUGGAGUCCAUAAAUUUCCCCAAGGAGAGAAAGGUCUACAUUAUUGGUGAGGAAGGCAUAUGUGAAGAACUGGAACUCAUUGGAUUAACAUGUCUCGGUGGCCCGGAGGAUGGCAAGAAAAGGAUAGAUUUCAAACCAGACUUGUUCAUUGAACAUGAUAAGAGUGUUGGAGCAGUUGUUGUUGGGCUUGACCAGUACAUUAAUUACUACAAAAUACACUACGCUACUCUUUGUAUCCGUGGAAAUCCAGGAUGUCUAUUUAUUGCAACUAACCAAGAUGCUUCUGGACAUAUGACAGAUUCACAGGAAUGGCCAGGUGCUGGGUCAAUGGUUGGUGCCAUACGUGGCUCGACUCAAAAGGAGCCUAUUGUUGUUGGGAAACCAUCACAGCUUAUGAUGAAGUUGCUAUUGGAGAGGUUUCAGACUGAUGCCUCCAAGAUGUGCAUGGUUGGUGACAGAUUGGAUACUGAUAUUUUGUUUGGUCUAAAUGGAGGCUGCAAGACGUUGCUUGUUCUCUCAGGUGUGACGACUUUAGCGGGCUUAACUGAUCCAUCCAACAACAUUCAUCCUGACUAUUAUACUGAGAAGGUUUCGGAUCUUAUGGAGCUAGUCUGAUUCUUCAUCUGCUUGUCAGGUGCGGGUGUGCCAAUUGAUAUGAUGCCUAGCCUUACACUGGAAUAGUUGGUGCAAUUGACAUUCCUCUGGAAAUGACGGAUCUCGAUUCAUGGGAGCGGGCGCUAGCUCUCAAUCCCAGUGUAACGAGCGGACCUGCAUGUGGCGUGGCAAAAUGAACCAAGCAUCACAUGGGCGACCAGCACAUGGCCGAAACCUGUGUAAGCUCAUACCACGUCCUAACUCAUUUCAGUUCCAUAAGGUGAUCAUUUGGUGGCUUUAAAUGCAAAAAAUUAUGUUAGAUCAUCUAAUGUUCUUUAAGUUCAUCAAUUGGAUAAACUGCCAAAAGAAAUUGACAAGCUAAGCUUGCAUUAAGAUCUUUAGGCGUAUAAAUGGAUUCUAUGUUAAAAUGCUGCUCGUUAUCUUACAUUUUUCUUUAGCAAGUAAAUUUAGAACUUGUCUGCGUUAUAUGCUUAAUUGGGUUCAUACGCAAUGUGCGUUUAAUUUCUAGCUUGUAUGAUUCUGCAAAUCGGAUGGGGUUCAUGAUUUUGUGAGAUCGAACUACAAUCGGGUUUCAUCUCAACUCUUUUCAUUGAUUGAGCAAUUCUUGAAGCAGGGAACAUGUCCAAUUGUGACUUGAACACGAUGCUUCGUGACAAAUACGACCCAAGUUCAAGUUCUACGAAUGGUGUCAUCUGUUUUUUUCUGUUUUUAUGCCAUACAGCAUAAAAUCCUCGUGUACACCUCCACCUUCCUUCCUUAGGAGUCCAUCGAGAAUGUCUUCUCAUUGUUUUAUGAAAAAGUGACUGCCUUAAUUCCUGAAUAUCGAGUUCUAGGUGCCUUUUAACGUAGAGAAUUUAAGCUAUUUCACCUAGCAACAUGAGUAAAACCUCUCGGGAAUACAUGACCACCUGUAGGCGCCAAAUCUCUAAUAUUAUAUUCA